CGUCGCAUUUCUCACCAACCAAACAAAAAGUUAUGUGCCUGUCCUGUAAUGUAACACUAAUCUCAUCACAGAUCAAAAUCUCCUGUGCAUCUCUCCCUAGUUUUCCAUCCAUGCCUCAAAGCCCAGGACAUGCACCCCAGCUGAUCGUAUCAUGCCACGUUGCAGUCAUCGGCGCCGGCAGAUAGUUUCUUGAUGAGUUCCUGAUCUUCCGAUCAGCGAUCGAGUUGGAGAAUUGAGUACCAAUUGUGAUGGUUGUUCAUGCGCUUCUCAGUGGCCAAGAGGACGCUAGUGACGGCCAAGAGGAGCUGUCCAAGAGCGGCUCAGUUUCUUGGGCUAAGAUCGCGAAGUCGCACGAACCGGUGAGAUCUAGGGUUUGGAGGAGCUUCUCGAAGAUUCUGAAUCAACUAACUGCUGCAGCUAUGGUUUAUGUCAUCCAGAACAACACUCUCAAGUCCUACGUGCUCUGGGAAUCUAUGAGGAAAUCUCUUUUGAUCCCAGAACAUAUAUGGAGCUUGUGGGACCUAAAAUGGGCUUAUUGUAACUACUAGAAAACUCUCCAUUUAUGGGCUUUAAACCAUGUCCAUAAUCCAUAUUUUAUUUUGGUUGGGAUUUUCAGAUUGGUGUAUUGUUUGGCUGUGUUUGGUAGCUAAGAAAGUGCAACAAUACACAAGAAAAUUAAAAAAUUGAGGAUUUAAAAAAAA